rnacentral:misc_RNA from 1 species
GAUGAAGAACGCAGCGAAAUGCGAUACUUGGUGUGAAUUGCAGAAUCCCGUGAACCAUCGAGUCUUUGAACGCAAGUUGCGCCCGAAGCCAUUAGGCCGAGGGCACGCCUGCCUGGGCGUCACACGUCGUUGCCCCCCCAUCUACUCCUUCGGGAUUGCGGGGGGCGGAUGAUGGCCUCCCGUGCGCCUCGCCGCGCGGUUGGCAUAAAUGCCAAGUCCUCGGCGACGCACGCCACGACAAUCGGUGGUUGCGAAACCUCGGUUGCCCGUCGUGUGCGGUCGUCGCGCAUCGAGGGCUCGAAAAAAUUGCCGGGUUCCGGCUCGGCUUUCAACGCGACCCCAGGUCAGGCGGGGCUACCCGCUGAAUUUAAGCAUAUCAAUAAGCGGAGGA